rnacentral:piRNA from 1 species
UUGGCGUGUUGAUCUCUAGGCUGAGGA